CUACGGGGGGCUGCAGUGGGGAAUAUUGGACAAUGGGGGAAACCCUGAUCCAGCAAUGCCGCGUGUGUGAAGAAGGCCUGCGGGUUGUAAAGCACUUUUGGUUGGGAGGACUGCUUCUAGCACUAAUAUUGUUGGAAGUUGACGUUACCUUCAGAAGAAGCACCGGCUAACUCCGUGCCAGCAGCCGCGGUAAUACGGAGGGUGCAAGCGUUAAUCGGAAUUACUGGGCGUAAAGUGCGCGUAGGCGGCUAGAUCAGUCGGGUGUGAAAGCCCCGGGCUUAACCUGGGAACUGCAUCCGAUACUGUCUAGCUUGAGUACAGGAGAGGAGAGUGGAAUUCCACAUGUAGCGGUGAAAUGCGUAGAUACGUGGAGGAACACCAAUGGCGAAGGCAGCUCUCUGGCCUGAUACUGACGCUGAGGUGCGAGAGCGUGGGGAGCAAACAGGAUUAGAUACCCCGGUAGUC
rnacentral:rRNA from 1 species